GGGAUUGUGGCUCAGUGGUAGAGCACUCGCCUCGCAUGUGUGAGAUCUGGGUUCAAUCCUCAGUACCA
rfam:Ictidomys tridecemlineatus contig099208, whole genome shotgun sequence.